GGGUGGAUUCGGAUUUUCAAAUUUUAGAAAUCUGAAUCCAUUAAUCCAUCGGCCCAUUAAUAAUUGACUUGAUCAGACCACAUUGAGUUUGUUUGAUUUAGUUUGGGAUUAUUUUACAAUUUAAUCCCUAAUAAAAAAUUUAUUAUAUAAUGGUCUUUUUCUAAUAUUUUGUGAGCAGAGAGGGAGGCGAUGGAGCCUCAGGGAAGCAAGAAGAAAGAAAAAAAAAUUAAAAUAAAAUAAAAUAUAUAAAAAUAAUAUUGUAUAAUACUUUAACUAUAUUUUAUAAUAAAAUAUUAUAAAAAAGUAUAAAACUCAAUAUAUAUAUAUAUAUUUUUUAUAUAAUAAACUUUCGAUCGGCAGCCAUGAGGAUUUUGGGUGGUGAUCGAAAAAGAAAGAAUGGAGGAGGAGAAGGGUCUAAUGGGUUUGGGAUUUUGGGUUCAUAUCCAAAAUCUAAAAUUUAGUUGACCGAUUUGCUUUAAAAGGGGGU
rnacentral:lncRNA from 1 species